CCCCUCUCAGGAUUGCACCUGGUGAGUUUCCAAUAUCCUACCAGUCUCAGCUUUGGGAGGGAGAGUCAAGCAGAGGCAUACCCAUUCCAUUCUUAGCUUGGACAGUGGCUAGCGAGUGGAAGGCAAUCUGCUACAAGU